CCCUCUAUACCACCACGGCGCUGGUGGUGAUUGAGCUCUUUUGCCCUAGUGGCCUAAUAGUUAUUACACCGUACUUACUAAUCAACAGGACGGUCCUUCUGACUGCGGGCUAGCGUCCUGAACGAACGCGUAUAUCUACGUGUUCUCAACAUAUUCCCCCUCCUGUUUGCACCACCGCCAAAGAGAUCUUUCUGGUUUUACAAGUUAUCAAGCUAUUUUAGCCAUUCUUUUUUCAAGCCAUUCUACAGUCUAAUUUAGCACUCCUUUCUAUAUCUCAACCUCUGCUGUUUGUUGUGAUGGACAAAAAGUUGACAGAUAAGGAGAUCGGGCCAGGGGUAGAACUCACAGACCCCAACCGGAUUAAGCUGUUGAAAAAGCUGCAGAAUGUCUUUGGCCAGAUUCCUCAAAAGGCUCAGGCAUCUUUUCUCCUCUGCGAUCUCAACUAUCUGAAAGAGUUGUGCCGAGCUGAAUCAGCCAGUCCUGCUCUGUUAGAUGCUGCACUUCGUGGGGUUCAUACCGCCUCAAAUGUAGAUAAUAUUGUGACACAGUGGUGUCAAAAAUCUCGCGUGUCUUCCUGCGUCUCUUCAGCACAAACCCCUUCUCCAGGAUCGCACCGCCAAAUACAACCUUCGCCACUUAGAUCAGUAACUGCAACAGGCACUAAAAGACAUGCUUCUGAAGAACUAGAGGACACAGACAUUCCACAUAAGCGAAGACGGUUGGCCACAGAUUUGAGCGAGCGAAGAUCUCGACAGAUGAGUGAUUUAUGUAAGAAUCGAGACGAGUAUAAAUGUGUUGUUACCAAAUUUGAGGGACCAACGGAUGCUUGUCAUAUUGUUCCCUUCUCCCUGAAUCAACGGAGCUCAAGAGCAAGCUUUUUCGAAUUACUGAGAAUUUUAUGGCCUCAACGUUUUGAGAAAUGGCAAAGCAUUGUCAAUAGUGGUACAGAAUUCAUUGGGAACAUGCUCACUUUGAGUCCUACUCUUCAUCAAUGUCACUCAGUUGGGCUUUUCGGUCUCCAGCCAGUUGAAGCUUCCUCAGACAGCAAAUCAAUGAAGCUUAAGUUUUUCUGGCUGGCUCAAUGUGACACUUCCAGCAAUUUCAUGACAGAUAUUACAGCUAUCCCUCCCUUUCCUGAUAAUGUACAGUUAAAAGGUAUACAAGUUUGUAAUGUUCAGAAUGGGCAUUUGAUUAAGUCAGGGGAGAUUAUAGAGCUGAUGACAGAAGACCCUGCAAAUAAACCACUGCCAGAUUGGGAUCUUCUUGAGCUACAGUGGGUGAUGCAGCGUCUGACAGCUCUGAGAGGAGCUGCAGACAUUUUUGACUCAGUUCAUUCUGAGUCAGACAAGUACUUGGAGAUGGAAGUUUUCACUGAGAAGAGCAGUGCUGUUGAAGAGCAGGAUACUAUUGAAGGCUCUUUUCAUAAAAUUCAUACUUGGAUGGAG
rnacentral:sRNA from 1 species